rnacentral:rRNA from 1 species
UGGGCGAAAGCCUGAUCCAGCCAUGCCGCGUGUGUGAAGAAGGCCUUCGGGUUGUAAAGCACUUUCAGCGAGGAAGAACGCCUUGGGAUUAAUACUCCCGAGGAAAGACAUCACUCGCAGAAGAAGCACCGGCUAACUCCGUGCCAGCAGCCGCGGUAAUACGGAGGGUGCAAGCGUUAAUCGGAAUUACUGGGCGUAAAGCGCGCGUAGGUGGCUAAGUCAGCCAGGUGUGAAAGCCCCGGGCUCAACCUGGGAACGGCAUCUGGAACUGCUUGGCUAGAGUGCAGGAGAGGAAGGUAGAAUUCCCGGUGUAGCGGUGAAAUGCGUAGAGAUCGGGAGGAAUACCAGUGGCGAAGGCGGCCUUCUGGACUGACACUGACACUGAGGUGCGAAAGCGUGGGUAGCAAACAGGAUUAGAUACCCUGGUAGUCCACGCCGUAAACGAUGUCAACUAGCCGUUGGGUCCCUUGAGGACUUAGUGGCGCAGCUAACGCAAUAAGUUGACCGCCUGGGGAGUACGGCCG